GACUUGGUGGUGCAGUGGUUAAAGCACUCAGCUGCUAACUGAAAGGUUGGUGUUCAAAUUCACCACUAUCUCC
rnacentral:tRNA from 1 species